rnacentral:rRNA from 1 species
GAUAUAUGCGAUCGUAUCAGCCAUGCAAGAGUAGGCGCGUCGAAAGAUUUUUCGCCGCGCACUGCUCAAAGCACGUAGUCACCUGCCAUUGAGACGGGACAACCUCGUGAAACUGACGCUAAUCCCUGAUAGUGAGUACGCUGGGAUGCGUCCUCGCGCAAAGCUAUGGCGCCCAAGGAUGGGACUGCGGUCUAUCAGAAUGUUGACGGUGUAACGGACCACCAAACAUACGAUCGUACGCAGAUGGGAGUCGGAGCCCGGAGAUGGGGACUGAGACAAGGCCCCAGGCCCUACGGGGCGCAGCAGGCGCGAAACAUCUGCAAUGUGCGCAAGCGUGUCGGGGGGAUCCCAAGCGCCGUUUGUAUUUUGAUCGACGGUUCUUAGGAAGUCUAAGAAGCUUCCAGAAUAAGGGGUGGGCAAGACUUGUGCCAGCCGCCGCGGUAACACCAGCAGCCCUAGUGGUCGCCCAGAUUCUUGGGCCUAAAGCGGUUGUUGCCGGAUCAUCAAGUCCCUGCUGACAUCGGGCCCCCGAACGGUUAGGCGUGCAAGGGAUACUUUUGGUCUUGAGGCCGGGAGAGGUCUGAGGUACUCCUGGGGUAGCGGUGAAAUGCUCUAAUCCUAGGGGGACCACCAGUGGCGAAGGGGUCAAACCAGAACUCACCUGCCGUUGAGCGGUGAAGGCUAGGGGAGCGAACGAGAUUAGAUACCCCGGUACUUCUAGCUGUAAAGCCCACGGGCCAGAAGUCUAGCGUUCCUCGAGGGCGCUAGGUGCCGGAGGGAAGCCGUUAAGCCCGCCGCCUGGGAAGUACGGCCGCAAGGCUGAGAAGUAAAGAAAUUGGCGGGGGAGCACCACAAGAGGUGGGACCUGCGGUUC